rnacentral:rRNA from 1 species
CAUUAUUGAAUAAUUAGGUUAAGUUGUUGCUGGCUCUUAGGAGCAAUGUGCACACUUGACUUCAAUUUAUUUUACCACCUGUGCACUUUGUGUAGACUUGGAAAAAGUGUAUUGCUGAGUUAUCCCAAUAACUUGGUUACUGAGGUCUGCUGCUUGAAAGCUCAGCUUUCCUUGACAUUUAUUUCAAGUCUAUGUAUUUUUAUAUAUACACCUAUAGUAUGUUAAUAGAAUGUAUUGAUGGGCAUGAAAUGGCCUAUAAAUCYAAUACAACUUUCAACAACGGAUCUCUUGGCUCUCGCAUCGAUGAAGAACGCAGCGAAAUGCGAUAAGUAAUGUGAAUUGCAGAAUUCAGUGAAUCAUCGAAUCUUUGAACGCACCUUGCGCUCCUUGGUAUUCCGAGGAGCAUGCCUGUUUGAGUGUCAUGAAAUUCUCAACCUUACAAAGUUUUUGAUUUUGUCUGGCUUGGAUUGUGGGAGUUACUGCUGGCUUAUCUCAAGCUGGCUCUCCUUAAAUGUAUUAGCAGAACCAUAAGUUGGCUCUUUAGUGUGAUAAUUAUCUAYGCUAUGUGAGUGACUUGUCUUGGAUCAGCUUCUAAUUGUCUUUAACCAAGACUUUAUGACCAUUUGACCU